rnacentral:rRNA from 1 species
GACGUAGGGCGCGAGCGUUGUCCGGAUUUAUUGGGCGUAAAGAGCUCGUAGGCGGCUUGUCGCGUCUGCCGUGAAAGUCCGGGGCUCAACUCCGGAUCUGCGGUGGGUACGGGCAGACUAGAGUGAUGUAGGGGAGACUGGAAUUCCUGGUGUAGCGGUGAAAUGCGCAGAUAUCAGGAGGAACACCGAUGGCGAAGGCAGGUCUCUGGGCAUUAACUGACGCUGAGGAGCGAAAGCAUGGGGAGCGAACAGGA